rnacentral:rRNA from 1 species
AGUGAACGCUGGCGGCAGGCCUAACACAUGCAAGUCGAACGAGUGGCGGAUGGGUGAGGAAUACAUCGGAAUCUAUCCCGUCGCGGGGGAUAACGUAGGGAAACUUACGCUAAUACCGCAUACUAUAGAAUGAUCCGUUGUCGGUUUAGCUAGUUGGUGGGGUAAAGGCCCACCAGGGCGACGAUCCGUAGCCGGUCCGAGAGGAUGAUCGGCCACACUGGAACUGGUACACGGUCCAGACUCCUACGGGAGGAAGCAGUGGGGAAUAUUGCACAAUGGGCGCAAGCCUGAUGCAGCCAUGCCGCGUGUAUGAAGAGGGCCUUCGGGUUGUAAAGUACGUUCAGCAGGGAGGCGUUACCCGCAGAAGAAGCGCCGGCUAACUCCGUGCCAGCAGCCGCGGUAAUAC